AUUGAACGCUGGCGGCAUGCUUUACACAUGCAAGUCGAACGGUAACAGCACUUCGGUGGCUGACGAGUGGCGAACGGGUGAGUAAUACAUCGGAACGUGCCUAGUAGUGGGGGAUAACUAAUCGAAAGAGUAGCUAAUACCGCAUGAGAUCUAAGGAUGAAAGCAGGGGACCUUCGGGCCUUGCGCUACUAGAGCGGUUGAUGGCAGAUUAGGUAGUUGGUGGGUUAAAAGCUUACCAAGCCGACGAUCUGUAGCUGGUCUGAGAGGACGACCGGCCACACUGGAACUGAGACACGGCCCAGACUCCUACGGGAGGCAGCAGUGGGGAAUUUUCGGCAAUGGGCGCAAGCCUGAUCCAGCAAUGCCGCGUGCAGGAUGAAGGCCUUCGGGUUGUAAACUUCUUUUGUACGGAACGAAAAGCCCUCUUCUAAUACAGGAGGGUCAUGACGGUACCGUAAGAAAAAGCACCGGCUAACUACGUG
rnacentral:rRNA from 1 species